rnacentral:tRNA from 2 species
GCCCGGGUGCUGGAACAGGUAGACAGGCUAGCUUGAGGGGCUAGUGUCCUUAUGGACGUGGAGGUUCAAAUCCUCUCCCGGGCACCA